UACGUAGGGUGCAAGCGUUAAUCGGAAUUACUGGGCGUAAAGCGCGCGCAGGCGGUUAUGUAAGACAGGUGUGAGAUCCCCGGGCUUAACCUGGGAACUGCAUUUGUGACUGCAUAGCUAGAGUACGGUAGAGGGGGGUGGAAUUCCGCGUGUAGCAGUGAAAUGCGUAGAUAUGCGGAGGAACACCGAUGGCGAAGGCAAUCCCCUGGACCUGUACUGACGCUCAUGCACGAAAGCGUGGGGAGCAAACAGG
rnacentral:rRNA from 1 species